rnacentral:rRNA from 1 species
ACGAACGCUGGCGGCGUGCUUAAUACAUGCAAGUCGAACGAGGUCCAAUCAAUCGCAAGAUUGAGGAAGAUCUAGUGGCGAACGGGUGCGUAACACGUGAGGAACCUGCCCCGGUCUCUGGAAUAACAAGUGGAAACACUUGCUAAUACCGGAUGCCGUCAUCCCACCGCAUGGUGGAUUGACGAAAGAUUUAUCGGAUCGGGAGGGCCUCGCGGCCUAUCAGCUUGUUGGCGAGGUAACGGCUCACCAAGGCAUCGACGGGUAGCUGGUCUGAGAGGAUGAUCAGCCACACUGGGACUGAGACACGGCCCAGACUCCUACGGGAGGCAGCAGUAGGGAAUCUUGCACAAUGGGCGAAAGCCUGAUGCAGCAACGCCGCGUGCGGGAAAAAGGCCCUAGGGUUGUAAACCGCUUUCAGCAGGGAAGAAAAUGACGGUACCUGUAGAAGAAGGUACGGCCAACUACGU